rnacentral:lncRNA from 10 species
GCUGGAUGUGCCCAGAGAUUCCAAAAACAAUCUUGUUACAAUCUUAGGUAAGCAUCUCUUAGCAUCUAAUCUAACAGCUUAACUAAGAAAUUAUUAACAUUCAGUUCACAGAUAUUUUCAGCACCUUCUAUUUGGUGGAGUCAGUCCCUUUCAAACCACUGAUUUUACACAGUCACAGAAAUUUGUUAUUGCGAUUGUCUUCUCGGGACUGGGACAAAUUAUGCAAGAACAUGACCUACAGGGUAACGGACAACAUUUACUUGAAUUCGUCUGGAAGUGUGUAAAGUCAGAAGGCAUCACAGAUAACCCAGUGAACUGAGGCACGUUGAAAGAACAAUGGAGGGUGGCAGGAAGACCUGAAUGAUCACCUAUGAAGAACCAAGAUCGUAGUCAUGAACAGCCGGAAAAAAAUCCAAAGCAGAAAACAAGCAAUGCUUUCGGAAGCUGGGGAAAUGGAAAUGGUGUGGCAGUGUGAAGGGAGGAAUAAUAGGGCGAAGGAUCAGAUCGAAGGCCAAAAAUUCAGAACUCCAACAGGAACUGAAAUCCCCUUUUACGUAUGGGCUGGUGCAAGGAGAAUAUAGGACAACACAAAAGACUUAGAUCAUUAGAACCUUGCCCAUCAAAAUCCCUUGCCAUUUCGCCAAAUAGAUGACUGUGGCAGAUUUCCGGGGCAUGUUUGCUUUGGGACCCUGGGACCCUGGGACCCUUAGAUCUUAAUUUUCUAUAUUUAUUACUAGUCCUUCUCAGAGUUUAAAAUGAGUAGCAUCUCUUAAGAACCGAGGCCUACCACCUUUUUAAAAAUCUACUACAAUAUUUUAAUAGAUCUAAGCAGAGAGGGAUAAGUAAUGUAACUUUGGUUAAUACACUGGAAAGAGAAAUCUGCACAUCAUUUUUGUUUUAUUCUUCAGUUUUUCACUAUCUUCUACUAUAUUUUAAUAUUUUGACUCGCAUGUUAUUUUACAUCCGGAAUGGGAGAUCCUGUCAAGAUGUGUCAGUAAGACCCAGUUAAUUCAUUCAAUUGCUAUUAUUAAGACAACAUUGUUCUAUACUAAGCAACAAUUUGAAAACUAUAAGAAAAUAUGAAUUUUGUAGAAAAAUGUAAUUUAUAGAUUUUUAAAUAUGAUACUUUAUCAUAAGCCACCAAAUUCAAAGAGCUUAUUAUGCAAAACAUAUUUCGAGAGUUUAUCAAAGUUCUCAGAUCUAGGACAAUUGAUCAUCCCUUAUUUUGGCUUAUCACAUUUACUCCUUUUUCCUGAUAGAUAAGGUAAAGGAAAUAACCAAGAACCACAAGAGUACUGUAGCUGCCAUGUCAUCACGGAAAGAAUCACACUCAGGAAGUUCAAUUGAUGUGACUAUUUCAGUGGGCUUGGAGUUAGGAUAGGAAGGAGAAGAACCAACAGACUUCUGCCCACUAAGGAAUCAAGAGAAGAGGCAGAGAGACAAUAGAUCCACGCAACCCAGAGUCCCUUCCUAGCACUUGAGUUGAACCAAAGAGAAGCAGGAAGUAAGGGCAACAGUCAAUCCCUUCAUCUCCCCCUUUCUCAAAGUCCCUUUUCCUCAAACCUUUUUCUUUCCUCAAAGCUGAACCACACUUUCAUGCACCACUAGUUUUAUCUCCUUGUAUCUUCAUUGUUUCAUUCACCGUGAACACUAACUCUGCUUUUUAAAAUCCCUAUCGAAAUUCAUUUUGUAAAUGUCAAUUCCAAGAUUACUCCCAAUAUGAAAAAGUGAGGUGUCUUUUGUAUUUAACUACAGUAGGGUGAGGAAAUUACAGCGGUGCUGAAAUAUUAGAGAAAAGAUGUUAUUAGCCCUAGUCAUGGCAUACUGAGAAAUACAUAGGAAGGGGAUGUAUAACCAGCUACCAAAGAGUUACUUUAUCAUUACUUUCCUUUGCUCAAAAAACACAGACAAAGGUGACUUCAUUACCACAAAUAUUUUUCUAGUCUUUUAUUUCUCUGGCUUCAAAUCCUCUUACUUGGCGUACUUACUGACCAGUCCGGGAAAUGCAGAACAAGAGCUUGACAAGCUCAGCUUCUUCGAUUUCUUUAGAAAUAAGUUGUCAGAACUUGCCAUUGUUGAGCUAGCCUCACCUGCCCAAACAUCAACUUAAAUAAACUAACAGUACCUGAAACAAAAGGAAUUUCAACCAUGAGUGUUAAAUAAGCCCUGAAAAUGGCAGACACUGAUGUGUAUUGUUGCUUAGUCUGAGCAAAUAUUGAAAUGUUAUUGUAAGCCUUCAGUUUAACUUUCAUUGUGCAUACCUGAG